rnacentral:rRNA from 1 species
AGGACGAACGCUGGCGGCGUGCCUAACACAUGCAAGUCGAACGAGGUCCAACCGGUGGCAACACUGGUGAAGACCUAGUGGCGAACGGGUGAGUAUCACGUGAGCAACCUGCCCCGAAGACUGGGAUAACACCGGGAAACCGGUGCUAAUACCGGAUACCCCCACCGGAUCGCAUGGUCUGGUGAGGAAAUGAAUUUUGCUUUGGGAGGGACUCGCGGCCUAUCAGCUUGUUGGUGGUGUAACGGACCACCAAGGCUUCGACGGGUAGCUGGUCUGAGAGGACGAUCAGCCACACUGGGACUGAGACACGGCCCAGACUCCUACGGGAGGCAGCAGUGGGGAAUCUUGCGCAAUGGGCGAAAGCCUGACGCAGCAACGCCGCGUGAGGGACGAAGGCCUUCUGGGUUGUAAACCUCUUUCAGCAGGGACGAUGAUGACGGUACCUGCAGAAGAAGCCCGGCCAACUACGCGCCAGCAGCCGCGGU